rnacentral:rRNA from 1 species
GAUGAACGCUGGCGGCGUGCCUAAUACAUGCAAGUCGAGCGAAUGGAUUAAGAGCUUGCUCUUAUGAAGUUAGCGGCGGACGGGUGAGUAACACGUGGUAACCUGCCCAUAAGACUGGGAUAACUCCGGGAAACCGGGGCUAAUACCGGAUAACAUUUUGAACCGCAUGGUUCGAAAUUGAAAGGCGGCUUCGGCUGUCACUUAUGGAUGGACCCGCGUCGCAUUAGCUAGUUGGUGAGGUAACGGCUCACCAAGGCAACGAUGCGUAGCCGACCGGAGAGGGUGAUCGGCCACACUGGGACUGGAACACGGCCCAGACUCCUACGGGAGGCAGCAGUAGGGAAUCUUCCGCAAUGGACGAAAGUCUGACGGAGCAACGCCGCGUGAGUGAUGAAGGCUUUCGGGUCGUAAAACUCUGUUGUUAGGGAAGAACAAGUGCUAGUUGAAUAAGCUGGCACCUUGACGGUACCUAACCAGAAAGCCACGGCUAACUACGUGCCAGCCGCCGCCGUAA